UAGCUCAGCUUGGUAGAGCACUUGGUUUGGGACCAAGGGGUCGCAGGUUCGAAUCCUGU
rnacentral:tRNA from 2 species